UACGUAGGGUGCAGGCGUUAAUCGGAAUUACUGGGCGUAAAGCGUGCGCAGGCGGUCUUUUAAGUCAGAUGUGAAAUCCCCGGGCUUAACCUGGGAACUGCGUUUGAAACUGGAAGGCUAGAGUGUGGCAGAGGGGGGUGGAAUUCCACGUGUAGCAGUGAAAUGCGUAGAGAUGUGGAGGAACACCGAUGGCGAAGGCAGCUACCUGGGCUAACACUGACGCUCAUGCACGAAAGCGUGGGGAGCAAACAGG
rnacentral:rRNA from 1 species